CAGUAGCCGCGGGAAUACGUAGGUGGCAAGCGUUGUCCGGAAUUAUUGGGUGUAAAGGGCUCGCAGGCGGUUUCUUAAGUCUGAUGUGAAAGCCCCCGGCUCAACCGGGGAGGGUCAUUGGAAACUGGGAAACUUGAGUGCAGAAGAGGAGAGUGGAAUUCCACGUGUAGCGGUGAAAUGCGUAGAGAUGUGGAGGAACACCAGUGGCGAAGGCGACUCUCUGGUCUGUAACUGACGCUGAGGAGCGAAAGCGUGGGGAGCGAACAGGAUUAGAUACCCCAGUAGUCCCUGUCUCUUAUAC
rnacentral:rRNA from 1 species